UGGGGGAUAUUGCACAAUGGAGGAAACUCUGAUGCAGCAACGCCGCGUGAGGGAAGAAGGUCUUCGGAUUGUAAACCUUUGUUUUUGGUGACGAAUAUUGACGGUAGCCAAAGAGGAAGCCACGGCUAACUACGUGCCAGCAGCCGCGGUAAUACGUAGGUGGCAAGCGUUGUCCGGAAUUACUGGGUGUAAAGGGAGCGCAGGCGGGAUAGCAAGUUGGAUGUGAAAUACCGAGGCUUAACCUCGGGGCUGCAUCCAAAACUGUUAUUCUUGAGUGAAGUAGAGGUUGGCGGAAUUCCGAGUGUAGCGGUGAAAUGCGUAGAUAUUCGGAGGAACACCAGUGGCGAAGGCGGCCAACUGGGCUUUAACUGACGCUGAGGCUCGAAAGCAUGGGGAGCAAACAGG
rnacentral:rRNA from 2 species